GACGUAGGGUGCGAGCGUUGUCCGGAUUUAUUGGGCGUAAAGAGCUCGUAGGCGGCUCGUCGCGUCGACCGUGAAAACCCGCGGCUUAACUGCGGGCUUGCGGUUGAUACGGGCGGGCUAGAGUUCGGUAGGGGAGACUGGAAUUCCUGGUGUAGCGGUGAAAUGCGCAGAUAUCAGGAGGAACACCGGUGGCGAAGGCGGCGCUCUGGACCGAGACUGACGCUGAGGCGCGAAAGCGUGGGGAGCAAACAGG
rnacentral:rRNA from 1 species